rnacentral:rRNA from 1 species
GCGAACGCUGGCGGCAGGCUUAACACAUGCAAGUCGCGCGGGCACUUUCGGGUGUCAGCGGCGGACGGGUGAGUAACGCGUGGGAACGUGCCCUCUGGUUCGGAAUAACUCAGGGAAACUUGAGCUAAUACCGGAUACGCCCUUUUGGGGAAAGGCUUGCUGCCGGAGGAUCGGCCCGCGUCUGAUUAGCUAGUUGGUGAGGUAACGGCUCACCAAGGCGACGAUCAGUAGCUGGUCUGAGAGGAUGAUCAGCCACACUGGGACUGAGACACGGCCCAGACUCCUACGGGAGGCAGCAGUGGGGAAUAUUGGACAAUGGGCGCAAGCCUGAUCCAGCCAUGCCGCGUGAGUGAUGAAGGCCUUAGGGUUGUAAAGCUCUUUUAUCCGGGACGAUAAUGACGGUACCGGAGGAAUAAGCCCCGGCUAACUUCGUG